rnacentral:lncRNA from 1 species
CCUUCCAGAUCCCUCUGUGUUGGGACUUUAAAGUCUGGCCCCUUAACAUUAGGACGUCUUUCUGAAGCAGACAGGGGUGGCAGGAGGGCAGAUUUUGUCCUUAUCCUCAGCCCAGCACAGUGGAGGGUCGUUUAACCCUUGUUGUUCCUUCCUGGGCCAGGUGUGGGGCAGGUGUCUGCUUAUUUCCUGAGCCCCACCGGGUGGCCCCUGCCUCUGCACAGCAGCAUCCCCUGGGAUCUUGGGAGCAGUGCAGAUUCCCAGGCCCGCCCCAGCCCUGCGAGUCAGAGUCUGCCCUCCACCAGUGACGAGUGAAAGCCCUGCCAGCCCUCCAGAAAGCCUGCUGAUGACACCAUCCCAGAGAGGGCGGACUGCAGCCAGCACCUUCCCCACCCAGCCCGACUCUGCAGGGAGCACUGAGGUCCGCUUGGCCUCCGUGUGGCAGCUGGCCCUGUUUUUGAUUGCUGAGGGCUGUGAAUAGAAUGAGAGAGAAAUAUCCACAUUCGGGCUUCUUUCUGCUCUGAAGAGAUUGGCAGCGCAGUCCUUUUCACCACAAAAAUGUGGCGGGAGGGAUGUCUCAUCUGUCUUGCCCACAGACCUGCUGCAAAGCACAUCGCUCCUUUCUGGAUUUUCUUUUUUUUAAUCCUCAUCUGUAUAAUUGCUGAAGAUUUUGCAUUUCUUUGGCCCCCCCCAUACAGAAACGCCUGUGUUGUGGGAUGUAAAUUUGGCCCAAAGCUGAUGGACAGGUUGGGAAAUAGAAGGGAGUCAGUGUUCUAGCGUGCUUUCCAAGGGCAGUGUCUCAGGAUACCCAGUCACUACCGCCUCCUGCCCCUCCCUGCGUGCGUUUCUUCAGCAAAGAGGCACCUAAUGGUGCUCCCUCUGGUGUCUUUUCACAGAAACAGGCAGAGCUUAGGGAGUUGAGAGCUCAGCCCUGAACUGGACCCGCUGAGAGCCACUAGAGCGCAGGGCUGAAAUGAGGAGCCUCUCGCUUCCAGUUCUUGGCACCUUACGAAGGAAAGUCUUUGACACCCUCACCUUCUUGUCGGGUGGGUAACUUGCACACCCUAUUGGGGGCAUCCAGUUGAAGCCCAGGACCAAGCCACAUCCCCCUCAACAGUGACUCAUGUUUUGAUCCUAUCUGAUUCCUGCACCUGUUCUCAUUUGAUUAGAACUUUAGAAACUGGCCUGUGGGUAACUGGUCCCCUCAUACCCUAGUGGGAUCCUUGUACCUUGGGAGCCUGGAAUGAAUUGUGCAGAUGGGCAGUGAAUCCCUGAAAUGUGAUAAAGGAGCUUCUCACAUUGAGUUUUGGCACAUUACCCUCUGCAUGAGAAGAUGCUUUAACACACACGCACACACACUCACACACACGAAUUCUCUGUGGGUAGCAGUGUUUUUUAAAGUUUUUUGUACUUGAGACAAAAUGGGUACUUUAUCACUGAGCUACACCUCCAGCCCCUUUAUUGAAGUUUUUGGUACUGAGGAUUGAACCCAGGGGCACUGAACCACAUCCACAGCCCUUUUUUAAAAAAAAUAAUUUAGUAGAGAGUAUCUCACUUAGGGCCUUGUUAAAUUGGUGAGCUUGCCUUUGAACUCAUGAUCCUCCUGCCUCAGCCUCCCUAACUGCUGGGAUUUCAGGUGUGCACCACCGUACCCAGCCCAUUUUAUUUUUUGAGACAGGUCUCACUGAGUAGCUGAGGCUGACUUCAGACUUGCAGUCCUCCUGCCUCAGCCUCAUUGGGAUCACAGGUAUACACAACCAUGCCUGGCUGGCUGUGGGUGGAUGUUUUAUAGAAAAAUGGAUAGUGAAAUAAUUGUGAUUUUUU